rnacentral:lncRNA from 1 species
GUCCUCAUUGUUGAAGACCGUACGGUGACCUAUAGUUGUUAAUGUCUGUGCCAUUUGGUCUGUUGUAGAGAGUUGUCUCUUUGGCAAUCAUACCACACCUUCUUCUUUUUUUUUUUAUAAUUACCCAACAUGGCCAUUUCGCAUUUCGCGGGCACUACGUCGACUAAGCUUGCGGUCUCCGAAAUUGGGCAUUUCCUUACAUAAUUGGCGUGUUCUGUGGAAAAAAAAAGAUUGGUUCAAAGACAAAUUAAAGAAGUAAAAAACACUACAUGUAUACGUCAUAUCACAAAUAUUUCCGACUUUCAUGGUAUGGUUUUAGAGGAGUUGCGGCUCAAUGAAAUCGGUCUCUUCCUUUAGUAGUAUAGAUUAUACAUGUAUGAUAUACUAGAUUUAAUAUAAUUUACCAUAUAAAAAACAAACCAUCUCGCCAUAUUAUGCAUGAGUAGAUAAUUUACUAUAGCUAUUGUUAUGAAAUAUUUUUAAAACUGACUGUGAUUUCAAUGGUGUCUUUUGCAAUGAAUAGAAAUAAGAAAAUAUGGUAUGAGAGCCACUGAGACAACUCUCCAUCCAAGUCAUAAUUUGUAAGAGGAAACAAUUAUAGGUCAAAGUACGACCUUCAACACGGAGCUUAUGCUUAUCAAUUUUUUUCCACAGACGGGAAUUUUUUCAACUAGCUCUUGUAUUAUCUGAUCUUAAUCUUCCUCCGAAAUGUUUGAAACGUUGAUUUUGUUAAAUUGCA